rnacentral:rRNA from 1 species
UGAAUACGAGAUGCUACGGCGUCGAAGCAGUGUAUGUCAGACUUCCAAGAAAAGCUCGCAAUGUCAUAAAUAAAGAAUGCCUGUACCAUAACCGACACAGGUGGGUAGGUAGAGUAUACUAAGGGGCGCGAGAUAACUCUCUCUAAGGAACUCGGCAAAAUAACUCCGUAACUUCGGGAGAAGGAGUGCCUUCUUUAAGAAGGUUGCAAUAACAAGAUCCAAGCAACUGUUUAUCAAAAACACAGGUCUCCGCUAAGUCGUAAGACGAUGUAUGGGGGCUGACGCCUGCCCAGUGCCAGAAGGUUAAAGAAGUUGGUUAGCUUUUGCGAAGCUGAUGACUGAAGCCCUGGUGAACGGCGGCCGUAACAAUAACGGUCCUAAGGUAGCGAAAUUCCUUGUCGGGUAAGUUCCGACCCGCACGAAAGGCGUAAUGAUUUGGAUACUGUCUCGGAGAGGGACUCGGUGAAAUAGACUUGUCUGUGAAGAUGCGGACUACCUGCACCAGGACAGAAAGACCCUAUGAAGCUUUACUGUAACUUGAAAUUGAAAUUGGACUUUAUUUGCGCAGUAUAGGUGGAAGGCGUUGAAAGUAAUCUUGCGGGAUUAGUGGAGCCAUCAGUGAGAUACCACUCCUAUAAUGUUAGAUUUCUAACUUUGGAUCAUGAUCUGGUCAAAGAACAGUUUCAGGCGGGCAGUUUGACUGGGGCGGUCGCCUCCCAAAUGGUAACGGAGGCGUACAAAGGUUUCCUCUGAACGGGUAGAAAUCGUAUCUAGAGUGUAAAGGCAUAAGGAAGCUUGACUGUGAGACCUACAAGUCGAGCAGGGACGAAAGUCGGUCUUAGUGAUCUGACGGUGCUGAGUGGAAAGGCCGUCACUCAACGGAUAAAAGUUACUCUAGGAUAACAGGCUGAUCUCCCCCAAGAGUUCACAUCGACGGGGAGGUUUGGCACCUCGAUGUCGGCUCAUCGCAUCCUGGGGCGGUAGUACGUCCCAAGGGUUGGGCUGUUCGCCCAUGAAAGCGGUACGCGAGCUGGGUUCAGAACGUCGUGAGACAGUUCGGUCCAUAUCCGGUGUAGGCGUUAGAAUAUUGAGAGGAGCCUUCUUUAGUACGAGAGGACCGAGAAGGACAUACCUCUGGUGUACCAGUUAUCGUGCCAACGGUAAACGCUGGGUAGCUAUGUAUGGAGAGGAUAACCGCUGAAAGCAUCUAAGUGGGAAGCCCACCUCAAGAUGAGUAUUCUCU